rnacentral:rRNA from 1 species
UACGGAGGGUGCGAGCGUUGUCCGGAAUUACUGGGCGUAAAGGGUGCGUAGGCGGCUUUCUAAGUUGGAUGUGAAAACUCUGGGCUCAACCCAGAGACUGCAUCCAAAACUGGAGAGCUUGGGUUCUGGAGGGGAAAGCGGAAUUCCUGGUGUAGCGGUGAAAUGACGUAGAGUAUCAGGAGGAACACCGGUGGCGAAGGCGGCUUCUGGACAGAUACCGACGCUGAGGCACGAAAGCUAGGGGAGCAAACAGG